rnacentral:pre_miRNA from 1 species
UCUAGAACUUGAGAUAUGGGCCGAACACUAAACAGUGUCUGGGCUGCAUGACAGAUUCCGACUUCUCCAUUGUUGCUAAGAUUUGGAAUUCCAAACAGCAGAAUUGAGUCUCUCACUCCUCAUGAAUGUUUUAGGCCUAUGUCUUAGCUUUCUAUC